CCUACGGGUGGCAGCAGUGGGGGAUAUUGCACAAUGGGGGAAACCCUGAUGCAGCGACGCCGCGUGUGGGAAGACGGUCCUCUGGAUUGUAAACCACUGUCCCCAGGGACGAAGAUGACGGUACCUGGGGAGGAAGCUCCGGCGAACUACGUGCCAGCAGCCGCGGUAAUACGUAGGGAGCGAGCGUUGUCCGGAAUUACUGGGUGUAAAGGGAGCGUAGGCGGGACUGCAAGUUGGGUGUAAAAUCUACCGGCUCAACCGGUAGCCGCACUCAAAACUGCAGUUCUUGAGUGAAGGAGAGGCAGGCGGAAUUCGUAGUGUAGCGGUGAAAUGCGUAGAUAUUACGAAGAACACCAGUGGCGAAGGCAGCCUGCUGGGCUUUUACUGACGCUGAGGCUCGAAAGUGUGGGGAGCGAACAGGAUUAGAUACCCCUGUAGUC
rnacentral:rRNA from 1 species